GACGAACGCUGGCGGCGUGCUUAACACAUGCAAGUCGAACGGAAAGGCCCUGCUUUUGUGGGGUGCUCGAGUGGCGAACGGGUGAGUAACACGUGAGUAACCUGCCCUUGACUUUGGGAUAACUUCAGGAAACUGGGGCUAAUACCGGAUAGGAGCUCCUGCUGCAUGGUGGGGGUUGGAUAGUUUCGGCGGUUGGGGAUGGACUCGCGGCUUAUCAGCUUGUUGGUGGGGUAGUGGCUUACCAAGGCUUUGACGGGUAGCCGGCCUGGGAGGGUGACCGGCCACAUUGGGACUGAGAUACGGCCCAGACUCCUACGGGAGGCAGCAGUGGGGAAUAUUGCACAAUGGGCGGAAGCCUGAUGCAGCAACGCCGCGUGCGGGAUGACGGCCUUCGGGUUGUAAACCGCUUUCGCCUGUGACGAAGCGUGAGUGACGGUAAUGGGUAAAGAAGCACCGGCUAACUACGUG
rnacentral:rRNA from 1 species